rnacentral:rRNA from 1 species
ACCUACGGGGGGCAGCAGUGGGGGAUAUUGCACAAUGGGGGGAACCCUGAUGCAGCGACGCCGCGUGGGUGAAGAAGCGCCUCGGCGCGUAAAGCCCUGUCAGCAGGGAAGAGAAUGACGGUACCUGAAGAAGAAGCCCCGGCUAACUACGUGCCAGCAGCCGCGGUAAUACGUAGGGGGCAAGCGUUAUCCGGAUUUACUGGGUGUAAAGGGGGCGCAGACGGCGAUGCAAGCCAGGAGUGAAAGCCCGGGGCCCAACCCCGGGACUGCUCUUGGAACUGCGUGGCUGGAGUGCAGGAGGGGCG